rnacentral:rRNA from 1 species
UCCUGGAAACGGGUGGUAAUGCCGGAUGUUCCACAUGAGCGCAUGCGAGUGUGGGAAAGGCUUUUGCGGCAUGGGAUGGGGUCGCGUCCUAUCAGCUUGUUGGUGGGGUAACGGCCUACCAAGGCGUUGACGGGUAGCCGGCCUGAGAGGGCGACCGGCCACAUUGGGACUGAGAUACGGCCCAGACUCCUACGGGAGGCAGCAGUGGGGAAUAUUGCACAAUGGGCGCAAGCCUGAUGCAGCGACGCCGCGUGCGGGAUGGAGGCCUUCGGGUUGUAAACCGCUUUUGUUCAAGGGCAAGGCACGGUUUCGGCCGUGUUGAGUGGAUUGUUCGAAUAAGCACCGGCUAACUACGUGCCAGCAGCCGCGGUAAUACGUAGGGUGCAAGCGUUAUCCGGAUUUAUCGGGCGUAAAGGGCUCGUAGGCGGUUCGUCGGGUCCGGUGUGAAAGUCCAUCGCUUAACGGCGGAUCCGCG